rnacentral:lncRNA from 1 species
CAAAAGAAGUUGUCUAGAAGAACGAACAAGAGAUGCAAGCCUUCCGAAGGGAGAACGAAGAAAUGAAAAAGAAGCUGAUGGAAGGAGGACCAUCCACUGGAACGACCAACGUUGCCGGCAGGUCCUUCACCUCCCCUCCCAACCCGAGACCGACGGAGGACACAAGGGAGGACACAAGGGACAAGAUCCCCACCCACAAGAUGGAUGGCGAAUCCUUUCUUAACAAGUCGGUUAGGACGACUGUCACCAUGGACUCAGCCCGCCGACAUCCUUUCAGCAACACUAUCGUUGAAGUUCCACUACUAGACAAGUGAAAGGGUUUCAACUGAGAUCGAUACGACAGGUCUACUGACCCAGACGAGCAUAUGGAUGUCUAUACCACCCAUAU